UAUCACAUUCACUGAGAUGGCUUUGUAUUGUUUGUCAGAAUCCUAAAUUGGAGUCUCUUUCUUCACCUCUCUCUCGAACUCAUCGUCUCCGUCUCUACUACGUCGUGUUUGCCGGUCAGUUUCUUCAUGGCUUCCAUCGGACAAACCUCCAAUAUUGGUCGUUCACUUUCUCUUCUUAAUUCUUUCUUAGGGUUUCGAUUUGGGGGUUUUUAGGUUUGGGUUUUGAUUUGUCUUGAUUAUCUGUUUCUGGGUACAGGGUUACGAUUUUGUUAACAAUUGUCGCAGCCUCUAACAUCUCCUCAGCUCCUGCCGGUGUUAGUGACUCAAUUCCGGUUUCUGCAAACGAUGAAGUAUUGUCUAGUGCUUAUAUCAAGGAGAAAACUUUGAAGAAGCUGUCUAAGCAGCAGCUGAUGGGACCUUAUGCUAUGAAGAAAGUCCAGAUCCAGAACAAGGAGCAAUUGGAAUUGGUGCGGGUGGAGAUCCGUGUUUCAUCAUUAUUCAAUCAACCUAGCUGCUCUCUCCUUGAUAAUGUUGGCAGAGGGCAUGAGCAAACUUGAAGGCAUAGGUUCAACAGAAAGAGAGCGCCUGUGGCCUGAGCUUGUGCAAAGUUUCAAAGAUAUUUUUCAGCGCCUUAAGCCUGUUAUAAGCGCAGAAGGAGAAGAGGAAGAAUACAUAAACAUUCUAAAAACAGAAUGGCGAUUA